rnacentral:rRNA from 1 species
AGAGUUUGAUUCUGGCUCAGAGUGAACGCUGGCGGCGUGCCUAACACAUGCAAGUCGAACGCGAAAGUCCUCUUCGGAGGGCAAGUAGAGUGGCAGACGGGUGAGUAAUGCAUAGGUAAUUUUCCCUUGAGUGGGGGACAACUGAUCGAAAGGUCAGCUAAUCCCGCAUGACAUCCAGUCAUAUAAGUGAUUGGAUUAAAGAGGGGGCUCUUUCGGGACCUUUCGCUUAAGGAUGAGCUUAUGUCCUAUUAGCUAGUUGGUAGGGUAACGGCCUACCAAGGCUCUGAUGGGUAGCCGAGCUUAGAGGCUGAUCGGCCACACUGGAACUGAGACACGGUCCAGACUCCUACGGGAGGCAGCAGUGGGGAAUUUUGCGCAAUGGGCGAAAGCCUGACGCAGCGACGCCGCGUGAGGGAUGAAGGUCUUCGUGAUCGUAAACCUCUGUCAGGGAGGAUUAAAUGUAUAGAUGCUAAUACCAUCUAUGCUUGACUUAACUCCCAGAGGAAGCCCCGGCUAACUACGUGCCAGCAGCCGCGGUAAUACGUAGUGGGCAAGCGUUACUCGGAUUUAUUGGGCGUAAAGCGAAUGUAGGCGGUUUCAUAAGUCAGAGGUGAAAUCCCUCAGCUUAACUGAGGAAUAGCCUUUGAUACUACGAAACUUGAGGACAGGAGAGGAAAGUGGAAUUCCCGGUGUAGCGGUGGAAUGCGUAGAUAUCGGGAGGAACACCAGAGGCGAAGGCGGCUUUCUGGACUGAUCCUGACGCUGAGAUUCGAAAGCCAGGGGAGCAAACAGGAUUAGAUACCCUGGUAGUCCUGGCUGUAAACGAUGGAUACUAGAUCUUGCCUGAAGGGCUUGGUCGUAGCUAACGCGUUAAGUAUCCCGCCUGGGGAGUACGGUCGCAAGGCUGAAACUCAAAUGAAUUGACGG